rnacentral:rRNA from 1 species
AACGAACGCUGGCGGCAGGCUUAACACAUGCAAGUCGAACGACCUGGGGGCUUCGGUCCCCGCUGCUAGUGGCGCACGGGUGAGUAACACGUGGGUAUAUGCCCUUUAGUACGGUAUAAGCAAGGGACACUUUGGCUAAUACCGUAUUAGCCCUUCGGGGGUAAGAUUUAUAGCUAAAGGAUUAGCCCGCGUCUGAUUAGGUAGUUGGUGAGGUAAUGGCGCAUCAAGCCGACGAUCAGUAGCUGGUCUGAGAGAAUGAGCAGACACACUGGGACUGAGACACAGCCGAGACUCCUACGGGAUGGAGGAGAGGGGAAUACAGGACUAUCGGGGCAAUGCUGAUGCAGCCAGGCCGGGAGAGUGAAGAAGUCCGUCGGGUAGUAAAGCUGUUUCGACGGGGACGAUUAUGACGGUACCCGUAGAAGAAGCCCCGGCAAACUUCGUG